CCGCGCUAGGUGGGGAGCUAGCGGUUCCCUGAACCCGCAAUCCGCUAGAGCGGGGCUGAAUUCCUUCCCGAGGAGGCGCGUUCCGAGGUAGGGCAAGCGCACGUGAGCGAUGAAGGCCAGGUUCCGCGCGACGGAAGCCUGUGAACCGCGUCAGGUCCGGAAGGAAGCAGCGCUAAGCGGUGUCUUCCGGGCGCCGCGGAGUCGCCUGGUCCGAGCAAUCGUCGUUCGCACCGCCUCGAACUACCCUUCGAAGGAAGGUGCGCGG
rnacentral:SRP_RNA from 1 species